GUCCUUCUGCCUUCUGCCAUGGGAUGACACAGCAAGAAGCCCCUUGCCAGAUGUGGGCCUCUCGACCUUGGACUUCUUAGCUUCCAGAACUAGGAGCCAUUGAAGAAUACUGUUGUCCUAUCCCAGAAGGAGCAAGCGGACAACACUGAUAUCCUGACCACUAACCAUCCAGCACCACUUAAAGCCACACUCUCCUCUUUGGUCUUUCCUGGUACGCAGCAUACAAGCCCACAGAUUGAGGACUCUGCACUUGCUGUUCUCUCUGCCUGGAGCUCUAUGGCUCCAGAUAGACUCCUGCCAACUCCUUCGCCUUGUCCAAGUUACCUUCAUUAAAUGUCAGCUUAAAUGUGUGCCUACUUUUUGCCCUACCUAGAAUUGCAAGCACCUCUCACCACUGUGCUCCCAUUCUCCUUAACUUAAGCCACUUUUAUUCUCAUAAUAAAGCCACAUAUUUUUUCUUAUUAUAUCAUAAUCGUACUGUAUAAUUUAUAUUUUAUUACUUUUGUUUGUAUACUUAUUGUAUGUUUCUGUUCACAAGGAUGUAAACCCCAUGAACACAGAGAUCUUUGAUUGUUUUAUUCACUGAUUUAUGCCAAAUGUUUGGAACAAUGCCUGGCACAUAGUAGAUGUUUGAUAAUUUUUUUUUUUUCUGAAUGAAUAAAUACAUUUUAGC
rnacentral:lncRNA from 1 species